rnacentral:lncRNA from 1 species
GUGGGUGCCCGCCCCUGCGGGCGCUUCUGGAGCUCGCUAGAGGCACAUGUAAGUACGUGGCUGCCUUCUACCUUGUAGUGUGUAGCAGUACAGUCGUGGUCUCAUUCUUCAUAUGGAUUUUGGCAUGGUUCUGACUAGAAAAUUUCCAGAAUAAUGUAAAUCAGUUUUUGAUGAUCUUAAAUCUAUUGCUCAAGUCGUUGUUGCUUCGCACAUCAACAAAACUAAGUGCUACUAUCCUUUUAUUUUUCCUCACUUUAAAACAGUUAAACAGAUACAAAGGAUGUUGUCUCUGUCUUUUCCUUAAGUGCUAAACACAUCACAAAUAAAAUGAAUUACUAGCUGCAGUUCAUGGCUGUAGUUGAGGUUGAUCUAGCAAGACAACAUAUCACAAAUGCAUGACUGUCCUCUCAUAUCUCUAUGAAAGUAUUGUCAUAUCCUUGGAAAAUAUGAAUUAUUUUCUAAGUCCCAAAUGUCAUCAGCUUCACUCUGCAAAUUAAAGAGAGAUAUAACUGAUUAGACAAAAAACCAUAUUGCUUACCAAUGCAUUUUAGGAGUUUUGGACAUGAUAAGUGGAAUACCAUCAAUAAACGAGCAUAGUACCCAUAUUCCUGCAAACCAUCUGCAUUUGUUUCACUCAUUUUCUGUAUAGGGGUUUCGCAUUGUGUUACUGGAAUAUGUUUUGCUCCUCUCUAUGCAAAAAAUAAAUCAUAAUAAAUAUUAGCUGAGUUACUAGUAAAUUUGUAGGUUGUUGAGACAUGUGAUAAGAAAUUUACAGAAGAAGAUUGUUUUGGGGGUAUGACUUUAGCUGUCCCUUUUUUCCUUUUACUCGGAUGUUGCUUCUCAAGCCAUGAUUUCUUUCUUUUUGAAGUCUUCUUCUGAAUUUCCUUUUUCUUUAGGCAAGCAGUCUGCAAAUAAAUGUCUGGUUCUUGAUAUAUAGCUUCAUUUCUGCACACAGUAGUAGGUGUUUUGUCUUCAACUUGCUUCCUAAGAAUCUUCAAAGUAUCGUCUACUAAUUUUAUGCACUCUUCUGAUGCAACUGCUUGGGAAGCUAUGUCAAGGAAGUCAUGCAUGAAAAACUUCAAUUGAUGCCUAUCUUCCGAUGUAGGAUCUUCCAAAACAAUGUUUCCAUGGCUGUUUUGAAUAGUGCCACUUCGUGCUUUUCGAGUCCAUCGCUUCAAAAUAUAUUGGCCUGGAAAAUACUUAAUAUUCAUAACAUCAAGGGCUUUCAAAGCAUGACUACACAAUAUACCAACUCUUUCAAAUUGCCCACAACUACAUAGAACGUUUUUCUCUUCAUCAACUACAACUUUGCAUUCUUCUUCAUAGGAGCAUUUUGGGUCAAGACUGGCAAUUGCAACAGUAUAUACAUUGUGUUCCUCCGAUGGCUUGAGAUACGCUGAGAUGGAUCUUACAUAUUCAUUCUGAAAAUCUUCAAAUAUUUGAGGUGUGUAAACUUUGCUAGCUUGUAUUAUUGUAGGAGUUCUUAUUCUAACUCUAGGUAAUUUUUUUCUAGACUCAUAUUCCUCAUUUACCUCUUUGUCUCUCUUUCCUUGCACAAUCCUUUCUACAUGCUUGAAAAAACGAAGAAUGUCAAGAUCACACUUCAAAUGGUCUUUCAAGUCACUAUUCAAGCUCUCACUUAAUUGUGUGCUUCUCAUGCCUAGAGUGUAAGCAUUCCUCAUGUAACAUCUUGCCCAUUUCUCUUUUACUUUAUAGAUACUGUCCAACCAAAUCUGUGUAUCCACAUUGGUUCUUAUGGCAGUGAAAGCUUCUUCAAAGGCUUCCUCAUCCUCAUAUUUGUACACGCAAGCAUUGAAAUCAGCAAGUACAUUUGGGCCAUCCUCAUCUUUGUUCUUAGCAGGUAAAUGUUUGAUGGCAUUUUGCAUUAUGUGUAAAGUGCACAAUCCAUGCCAUGCUUCUGUAAAUACCACCUGAAUUGCAUUACCCAUUGCUACGUCUUGAUCAGUAAAGAUAGUUCUAGGUUGCUUUUUGUUAUGUAUGGAUAAGAAAGUGUUGAACAACCAUUUGAAGGAUUCAAAUGUCUCAUCGUAUAAAAGCGCGGCACCAAAAAAUGACCAUUUCUCUAAAAUGGUUGAAGCCAACAAAUACACCAAAGGGUCUGUACUCUUUAUUUGUCCCAAAUGUAGUAUCGAACGUAACAACAUCACCGAAAUGAGAAUAGUCAAUGAUCAUCUUUGCAUCGGCCCAGAAGAUAUUUGCUAUUUGUUCCUCACAAUCAUGUUGUACAUCAUAUUCAAAUGCAGGAUUCUCAUUUUUUUUUCUCGAAAGUACUUAAGCAUACUUCCAGCUUCACCAUACAUCAACUCCCUUUGACGCUUGGUUCGCAAAUAGUUCUUGUUAUCACGAGGUGUGUACGUCAGGUUUAUUGAUCCACCAACUUGCCGACUUGCCAACUCAUGGGCUGCUUUCGGUACAAUUCCCGAAUCAUCUGCAGUUUCAAUAUCAAAAGCUUGCAAGGUUGAUAUCUUUCGUUGUGAUGGCAUCAAGUGGCAUGUUCCAGGCAACUGCAAGACAUGGUUAUGAUCAGUGACUAACUCAUGUACUUCAUAAUUUCCCGUUUCUCGGUCGAUGGUGAUUCCUAUUCGAACCUUGCAACCAGUCCUGGUUUCUGCACGAGGACGCUUGGUAUUAUGAUCUCUUUUGUCUAUUCUUCUGUAGCCUUCAUUGGAACAAACGUAUCUCGCGGAAGUUAUUGCACCAUCAAGUUUGCUCUUAUUUUCAUAAUUUACCCUUACGUCAAAACCAAUAUGACCUCCAUAACAAGUCCAAAAGUUCCAAGCCUCUUUUGUGGAAUUAAAUUUCAUACCAAUUUGAGGCAUCCAACUAGGAAUCAUAUUAUUUGUCAUGUAAAGGCAUAUCUUAAUUUAUUUGUCUAGUCACACUAUAAGAAUAUGAUGACAUAGCCUGAGAAUUUAACAAAAUUGCGUGUACCUGUUCGAAUCUUUAUUGGAGUUGGUCAUACUCUCCAUCAAACCUUGUCUUCUCCUUUUUGUAAUCUGUGAUUGCAUAGCAAACUCAGCCUAGAGGAAAUCUCUUGCUACCUUGAGAACAUGAAUACAAUCAGUGCAUAUGUCACAUACCUUGAGAUUUAUCGACUUCCUUUUUGUUGCUAGGAGAAGGAAGGUAAAAGGGAGAUCAUCUACAUUAAUCUCCUGUCAGGUAAUGGAAAUCCCAAACAUUUCAUGAGCAAAGCACCUAUGGUACAACUUCCACGUACAGAUCUGACUAUAUUCAUGUAUUUUAUCUUGAGGUUGUCCAAAACAAUAGAGAUCACUUCUGCUAUAAUCACUUUUUUCCACUAACAUCAUCUAGAAGAUGUAGAAAUAAAUUUUACAUCUCAUCCGUUCUUUAUCACUUCUGAUAUUCUACUAGUUGUUCGGGUUGUUCGGAGGGUUCGACUCCUCUGCAAUUUCGCUACUGCUGAAUUUAUCAAAAUUGAUGGUACCUGUUUGAAUCUUCAUUGGAGUUGGUCAUAUGCUCCACUAGACCUUGCACAAAUUCAGUAUAGGAGUUGUCUUGUUGCCUUCAGAACAUGAACAGAAUCAGACCACAUGUUAGAUCCCUAGAGAUUGAUCCGCUUCUUUUUUGUUGCUAGGAGAAUGGCAAAGGGGAGAUCAACAACACCACUUACAAAUCAGCGACAGGAGGACGAUCAGAGAUAGACAAAAGGGAGAUCUCUAUGCCAACGUGUGUUCUGGUUACAAGGAGGACGAAGACGGGCGGCGCGAAGGCAUGGAGAUAUUUGGCGCCAACCUGCGUUCUGUUUAGCGCCAACUUGCCGUACGAGUUUUUUUAGGGGAUCUGCCGUAGGAGAUUUUGCAGCCAACAGUUCAGGUGUUUGUUGUCAUUUAUUAUAAAAGAAUUAAAGGAGGAAAUAAGAGCGGUCAGAUUGAAAUUAACGGUUGAUGUACACCGGUGCUGUAAUAGCUGCACUGCAGAGGAGCCGGACCCGCGACCGGCGCGUCGGUUCGGCCGGCGCGCUGGUUGGAAACGAUUCCCUUCGGUUAUGCAAUGGAAUAAAAGGAAAGAAAGAAAAGAUGCACGAUUUAAGGGUCGCAAAAGAUCCUUCUCUCCUGACGGCGUCUCUCUUCUCUUCUCUGUUUUCCUUUAGCCUGUUUUCCUUUAGCCUCGUGCGUGCGUUGUGUUUUUCAGAGAAAAGUUCAGGGGAGAAAGGGUAGAUCGCUGCUUGAAACCUAACACGCAGUGCUCCGGCCGAGCUCGCGCUCGUGCUUGGGUUGACCUCCGUGUCUCGCCUCCAGCUCUCUGGUGCCGCGGGAAGGGCGCCCCCGUAUAGAUCUGCUUCCUCGACGUCACGGAGGUCUCCAAGGCGCAGAUCAGCCUCGGCCCCGAGCUCUUCUUCCCCUGUUUCGCGAUCCAGAAAGCUCGCCGUGUG